UGAAGGAGCUUGCUCCUGGAUUCAGCGGCGGACGGGUGAGUAAUGCCUAGGAAUCUGCCUGGUAGUGGGGGACAACGUUUCGAAAGGAACGCUAAUACCGCAUACGUCCUACGGGAGAAAGCAGGGGACCUUCGGGCCUUGCGCUAUCAGAUGAGCCUAGGUCGGAUUAGCUAGUUGGUGAGGUAAUGGCUCACCAAGGCGACGAUCCGUAACUGGUCUGAGAGGAUGAUCAGUCACACUGGAACUGAGACACGGUCCAGACUCCUACGGGAGGCAGCAGCGGGGAAUAUUGGACAAUGGGCGAAAGCCUGAUCCAGCCAUGCCGCGUGUGUGAAGAAGGUCUUCGGAUUGUAAAGCACUUUAAGUUGGGAGGAAGGGUUGUAGAUUAAUACUCUGCAAUUUUGACGUUACCGACAGAAUAAGCACCGGCUAACUCUGUGCCAGCAGCCGCGGUAAUACAGAGGGUGCAAGCGUUAAUCGGAAUUACUGGGCGUAAAGCGCGCGUAGGUGGUUUGUUAAGUUGGAUGUGAAAUCCCCGGGCUCAACCUGGGAACUGCAUCCAAAACUGGCAAGCUAGAGUAUGGUAGAGGGUGGUGGAAUUUCCUGUGUAGCGGCGAAAUGCGUAGAUAUAGGAAGGAACACCAGUGGCGAAGGCGACCACCUGGACUGAUACUGACACUGAGGUGCGAAAGCGUGGGGAGCAAACAGGAUUAGAUACCCUGGUAGUCCACGCCGUAAACGAUGUCAACUAGCCGUUGGGAGCCUUGAGCUCUUAGUGGCGCAGCUAACGCAUUAAGUUGACCGCCUGGGGAGUACGGCCGCAAGGUUAAAACUCAAAUG
rnacentral:rRNA from 2 species